GGCUCGGUAGCUAAGUCGGUAAAGCACUUGUGUAUGUAGCAUAUAAGGGUCGUGAGUUAAAAUCUCACUUGAGCUG
rnacentral:tRNA from 1 species